ACCAGGGAAACGCCUUCGAGAUCAAUAUUGAUCAGGGGAGACGCCUGGCCCUGCAGAAUGAGAUCGACAAGGAGUCCAACCCAGUCCAACUCAAAGCAGCACCGGUACCAUCGAGUUUGGGCCAGUGGGGCACCGCCCAGUUUGACAGUUCCGACCAACAAAAUAAGUUCCC